rnacentral:rRNA from 1 species
UACGAAGGGGGCUAGCGUUGUUCAGAAUUACUGGGCGUAAAGCGCGCGCAGGCGGUUCUCCAAGUCAGUGGUGAAAGCCCGGAGCUCAACUCCGGAAUUGCCAUUGAAACUGUUGAACUUGAGGACGAGAGAGGUGAGUGGAAUUCCCAGUGUAGAGGUGAAAUUCGUAGAUAUUGGGAAGAACACCGGUGGCGAAGGCGGCUCACUGGCUCGUAUCUGACGCUCAGGCGCGAUAGCGUGGGGAUCAAACAGG